rnacentral:lncRNA from 1 species
GCAUGCGCUCUGAAGAGCAUUAAAUGGCCGUUACGCAUGGAGCAGGUGCCUGACACGCCCGUACGUAUGGGCCUGAGUGACAAGGACAGGAAGCACUAUAUACUGGGGGGUCUUCUCUUGCAAGGGGGUAUCUUCUUCUUUUUCUUCUCCUGCCUGGACUCCAUUUUUAUUUUCUCUGCAACUCUUGUCUAAGGACACGACUCUUAUUCAGGAAACCUGACUUGAACGUCGGAGGGUCUCCGCCGGGGCAUCCCCGGUGGACCCCUGACCCCCUUUUCCC